rnacentral:rRNA from 1 species
AUUGAACGCUGGCGGCAGGCCUAACACAUGCAAGUCGAACGAGUGGCGGACGGGUGAGUAAUGUCUGGGAAACUGCCUGAUGGAGGGGGAAAACUACUGGAAACGGUAGCUAAUACCGCAUACCAUCGGAUGUGCCCAGAUGGGAUUAGCCAGUAGGUGGGGUAAAGGCUCACCUAGGCGACGAUCCCUAGCUGGUCUGAGAGGAGGACCAGCCACGCUGGAACUGAGACACGGUCCAGACUCCUACGGGAGGCAGCAGUGGGGAAUAUUGCACAAUGGACGCAAGCCUAGUGCAGCCAUGCCGCGUAUAUGAAGAAGGCCUUCGAGUUGUAGAGUACUUUCAGCAGGGAGGCGUUACCCGCAGAAGAAGCACCGGCUAACUCCGUGCCAGCAGCCGCGGUAAUUC